rnacentral:rRNA from 1 species
GCCGAGGACCUAACAGUUUUGUUUUCCCAGUUUUUCAAUGGAAGCCAGAGGAAGCUAAGCAGGGCCGGGCCUGGUUAGUACUUGGAUGGGAGACCACCUAGGAAGACCAGGUGCUGUAGGCG